GGGGCCGUAGCUCAGCCGGGAGAGCGCCGCCCUUGCACGGCGGAGGUCAGGGGUUCGAAUCCCCUCGGCUCCACCA
rnacentral:tRNA from 1 species